rnacentral:rRNA from 1 species
AUUGAACGCUGGCGGCAGGCCUAACACAUGCAAGUCGCGCGAGCGGCGGACGGGUGCGUAAUGUCUGGGAAACUGCCUGAUGGAGGGGGAUAACUCCUGGAACCGGUAGCUAAUACAGCAUACCAUCAGAUGUGCCCAGAUGGGAUUAGCGGGUAGGUGGGGUAACGGCUCACCUAGGCGACGAUCCCUAGCUGGUCUGAGAGGAUGACGAGCCACACUGUGACGGAGACACGGUCCAGAGGUCUAAGGUAGGCAGCAGUGGGAAAGAUUGCACAUUGGGCGCUAGCCUGCUGCAGCCAUGCCGCGUGUGGGAAGAAGGCCUGCGGGUUGCAAAGCACUUGCAGCGUGGAGGCGUUACCCGCAGAAGAAGAACAGGCUAACUCCGUGCCAGCCGCCGCGGUAAUUC